AUUGAACGCUGGCGGCAGGCCUAACACAUGCAAGUCGAGCGGAUGAGUGGAGCUUGCUCCAUGAUUCAGCGGCGGACGGGUGAGUAAUGCCUAGGAAUCUGCCUGGUAGUGGGGGACAACGUUUCGAAAGGAACGCUAAUACCGCAUACGUCCUACGGGAGAAAGUGGGGGAUCUUCGGACCUCACGCUAUCAGAUGAGCCUAGGUCGGAUUAGCUAAUUGGUGAGGUAAAGGCUCACCAAGGCGACGAUCCGUAACUGGUCUGAGAGGAUGAGCAGUCAAACUGGAAGUGAGACAAGGGCCAGACCCCUACGGGAGGCAGCAGUGGGGAAUAGUGGACAAUGGGCGAAAGCCUGAUCCAGCCAUGCCGCGUGUGUGAAGAAGGUCUUCGGAUUGUAAAGCACUUUAAGUUGGGAGGAAGGGCAGUAAGUUAAUACCUUGCUGUUUUGACGUUACCAACAGAAUAAGCACCGGCUAACUUCGUGCCAGCAGCCGCGGUAACAC
rnacentral:rRNA from 1 species